GCGGGAGUGGUGGAACUGGUAGACACACAGUCUUGAGGGGGCUGCGCUUCACGGCGUGCGAGUUCGAGUCUCGCCUUCCGCA
rnacentral:tRNA from 1 species